GACAAAUAGAAAUGUCGUAUAAAAUCUUUGUUAUGUUUGUGAUUCUCCUUCUCACUAGUUCAAUAGUGCUGUCAAAAAAGAUACAGAGUAGAAGUAUGAAUAUAUUUUUAAAGAGAGAAAAGGAACACAACCAGCACAUCCAGCACAUCCAGCCUGGGUCUAAGUGGGGUGAUGAUAUGUUUGGACAUGGAUGUAGAUGUACAUUUCACCUUCAUUGUCACAGUGACACUCAGUGUCGCCACCAUGGUACACAUUAUCAAUGCCAUUAUAGUUGUUGUGGGACAAAAUGUGUGAGAAGAGUGUGAUGUAUGACAAAGGAUAUUUUCAAAGUUCAAUAAAUAUUACGUAUUGAGUUAUUGAAGAAUAAUGUUGAUUUUUAGUCGAUAGUUGUG